UUUUUGAAGCUUUUCAAUAUUCUGAGCUUGUACUGUUCAUUGCUUCUAAUGGAGGCUGCAGAUAUUUACCACAGUGGAAAAAUACAUUCUAAAAGAUACUACAUGCAAAAUUACAUAUAGGAAAGAUAGCAAAUUAUUUAUACAGAGAACGAAAUCAGUCAGGAGUAGGGGAGGAAACUAUAGCAAGAAUUAAAGUAAAAAUCCCACCCUGCUAUACAGAAUUGGAGUUAUAACUUACUAUUUGAUGUAUCCACAACUUAUAUUGUCAGGUCUUAAAAUUUAAGUGUUGUUUACCUUCAGUUUUUGAACUUCUUUUCAAACAUACAAAUAAAAACAUACAAAUUUCAUAGAAGUAAUAGGUUGUGAAAACUUCACAGGAGCAGUGCUGGGUGACUUGCUUGUUGGGCAACCUGGAGUGGGAGAGUCCAAAGCUGUCACAAGCAAAUGAACAUCUCCAGUCAAAGGAGAAGACAGCUGGUCCUAUCAGCCCGAUACAAAGCAUGGUGCUAAGUGCUGUUAGUUGAGCAUAAAACUUAAACUGUUAUACUCUUAUACCGUUGAGAGAAUAAUGUUAGUUGCAUUUCAUUGUGUGCCUUUCUAAUAAUACUUUUUUUAUUUCCCUCUCCCCAGCCUGCUCCAGAGACUACUGGUGAGUUCUGCUUACAGAUCUAUUUGUAUGCAUGGGAGGCAGUCAAAAAAAAAAAAAAAAAACCAGCUGCUCAUAAACAUCACUAGGACAGACGCAGAUUUAUAAUUACUGUUAUUGUUAUUGCAUUAAUUUUCACACAUCAUAAAGAUAACAGCAAGGGCUAAUGUCCUACCUCACUUGUCUUUUUACUUUUCAGAAAUAGACGUAGAUGGAGGAAUUGAUCAAGACAUCUUUGACAUCAAUGAAGCUUUAGGACUAGACCUUUUUGAGGGAGACAUCAAACUUGAUGGGGUGAGUUCAAAUAUUAAAUAUAACACAGGAACUGUGUCAUCAACUUAUGCAAUGUGAAGUGUUAGUGGCAUGAAAAUGAUUGAUGCAUCCUACUCAUACUAACAAUAAAUAAUGUUUAUGUUACA
rnacentral:lncRNA from 1 species